rnacentral:lncRNA from 1 species
ACCAAAAGAGUAGAGCAUGUGCUCUUUAAUCUUUAUGUUGUGACGCAUAAACUUUCUCUAUUUGCUGAAAAUGGUGAAAACAAUCCUCCAUUUAUAGCUACUAUAAAAAACGGAACUCGUGGACAAAAAGGAAAAAAAAAGAAAAGACGGAAAGUAUCUCUUAAAAGAAGAACACUCCCACGAAAAUUGAAAACAAAAACUCAGAAGAAGAAUUAACUCUUGGCCUCUUGGGGUUUAGGGUUUAUUACAAAAUGAUCUCAUGUACUCCGGUCAGAGCGCCCGAUACCCAUUUGACUGAACAUCUCCCGUCGGGACCCACGCGGCGCCUCCCACCCAAGACCCACGCCUCCUGCUAGGACCCACCUUCACGCUUCCACAACACUGUCAAGCAGGCCCCAAGAUCUCGUGCAUGAGACCAUUGUUAAAUUAACAGUAAACAUUUUGAAUCUGUGGACGAAUUAAAAAUUUACAUACAUCAACUACGAAAAAUGAAAAUUCGAUAAUAAUGCAAAUUUAUUAGAUGUCUGGAACCUUAACACUGGGGUGAAAAAGUCAAGCUGGAAGUGGGCAGCAGAGACAGAGUCGGUGGAAUAUUAAAAAUAUCUCUUUAUAAAUUCGUAAAAAAAUAUCAUUUUAUUAUACUAGUCUAGCCGCACAAUCUGCGCGGGCCACCCCGCUAUAGUGUAUGUAAAAGUAGAACAAACCGAACAAUCUAUAGCCGCUUUCAACCAAUUUCAUGAAAUGAAUCCAACCAUGAUCUCGAAUUUCUCAUACCAAUCGUGUAUAAUGGAGGAAAUAAAUCAUCCUCGUGGAUGCAUAUGGGUCGUUGGGGAUUUGUCUAGGAUUCUACCAGUUUUACCAUUUUUACUAGUAGUAAAAGCAAAUAGUACUCUUUUGAUCUCCUAGUAUUGAC